GACGAACGCUGGCGGCGUGCUUAACACAUGCAAGUCGAACGAAGUGGCGAACGGGUGAGUAACGCGUAAUCAACCUGCCCUUCAGCGGGGGACAACAGUUGGAAACGUCUGCUACUACCCCAUACUCAAGGUGGGGCUUGCGUCUGAUCAGCUAGUUGGAGGGGUAACGGCCCACCAAGGCGAUGAUCAGUAGCCGGGCUGGGGAGUAGGACGGCCACAAUGGGAAUUGGACAAGGGCCAGACUCCUACGGGAGGGAGCAAUGGGGGAUCUUCCGCAAAGGACGAAAAUCUGACGGGACAACGCCGCGUGAGGGAUGAAGGCCUUCGGGUUGUAAAACUCUGUUAAUCAGAAAGCGGUACCGGAAUAGAAAGCCACGGCUAACUACGUGCCAGCAGCCGCGGUAAUAC
rnacentral:rRNA from 1 species